GAUGAACGCUGGCGGCGUGCCUAAUACAUGCAAGUCGAGCGAACGGACGAGAAGCUUGCUUUUCUGAUGUUAGCGGCGGACGGGUGAGUAACACGUGGAUAACCUACCUAUAAGACUGGGAUAACUUCGGGAAACCGGAGCUAAUACCGGAUAAUAUUUUGAACCGCAUGGUUCAAAAGUGAAAGACGUUCUUGCUGUCCCUUAUAGAUGGAUCCGCGCUGCAUUAGCUAGUUGGUAAGGUAACGGCUUACCAAGGCAACGAUGCAUAGCCGACCUGAGAGGGUGAUCGGCCACACUGGAACUGAGACACGGUCCAGACUCCUACGGGAGGCAGCAGUAGGGAAUCUUCCGCAAUGGGCGAAAGCCUGACGGAGCAACGCCGCGUGAGUGAUGAAGGUCUUCGGAUCGUAAAACUCUGUUAUUAGGGAAGAACAUAUGUGUAAGUAACUGUGCACAUCUUGACGGUACCUAAUCAGAAAGCCACGGCUAACUACGUG
rnacentral:rRNA from 1 species